rnacentral:rRNA from 1 species
GCAGAUCAGCAUUGCUGCGGUGAAUACGUUCCCGGGCCUUGUACACACCGCCCGUCACGUCACGAAAGUCGGUAACACCCGAAGCCGGUGGCCCAACCCCUUGUGGGAGGGAGCUGUCGAAGGUGGGACUGGCGAUUGGGACGAAGUCGUAACAAGGUAGCCGUACCGGAAGGUGCGGCUGGAUCACCUCCUUUCUA